UACGGGGGGGGCGAGCGUUGUUCGGAAUUACUGGGCGUAAAGGGCGCGUAGGCGGCCCACUAAGUCAGACGUGAAAUCCCUCGGCUUAACCGGGGAACUGCGUCUGAUACUGGAUGGCUUGAAUCCGGGAGAGGGAUGCGGAAUUCCAGGUGUAGCGGUGAAAUGCGUAGAUAUCUGGAGGAACACCGGUGGCGAAGGCGGCAUCCUGGACCGGCAUUGACGCUGAGGAGCGAAAGCCAGGGGAGCAA
rnacentral:rRNA from 1 species